rnacentral:lncRNA from 1 species
AGUACCCCAGCCCAGGUCAUGUGAUGUAACCUACAGCGGCAGCCCGAGGUGCGGCGUCUUAGCCGGUUUUGUGCAGGCGGGAGGGCGAAGGAUGGGCGGGGCUUCUGUUCCCAAAUUUGCCCCUAAGCGGGGUUGACAGGGCGCAGCCGGGAGAGGCUGAGCUGGGGACAGAGAUGUAGUGGAAACGUUCAUGGAUGUCCAGGUCCAGGGCGCGCUGUCACCGGCCGCUGGCCAGAGCCCUGGGAAUGCGAAGAUGCUCCUUCUCCCCUGCCUUGGAAAGCUUCACAGGCUACCAGAGAAGCAAGGCGUUUGUGCUGUGGUAUCUGUGGCCCUCGCUCAGGUUCAGUGUAAAAUCCCCAUCAUCCAGACCUGCUAACCUUUAAGUUUAGUGGCACCACUGUACUUCGUCCAUAGAAAUCUCCCGAAUCGGCCUCUCUCAGUUGGUACAACUCCAACACGUCUUUGUCCUUUCUUGCUUUUAUUGCCUGUGUAUUGCUGAUAAUCGGAGUCACUCCAAAAUCAUUAUCUUUUUUUUUUUUUUGUUUUUCCUUCAAACUCCAUUCUCUUUUAAAGGCUUCAAGCAGCAUCUGUAACAUAACAAACAUGAAAUGUCUAAUAAGUGGAGAGAGGCUGUAUCAUGAAGUAAGUGGUGUUUAUUAAGUCCCUUCUAUACCUGCAUUGGAAUUUCAGGUACUGUGGGUUGAAACUGUUUAUGCUUUCAAUUCAAAAUUCCUGUUAUAUGAAUUUGCUUUUGGGAAAGAAUCAGAUACAUGACUAAAGAGAGAUUUGCCAGAAUGAGUAUUGUAAGGUUAUAUGUUAGAUUUUAUUUUUUGCACUUGGGAUUGAACUCCAGUCCUUGUGCUUGUGAGGCAGGCAGC